UACAGAGGUCUCAAGCGUUGUUCGGAUUCAUUGGGCGUAAAGGGUGCGUAGGCGGCGCGGUAGGUCGGGUGUGAAAUUUCGAGGCUUAACUUCGAAACUGCAUUCGAUACUGCCGUGCUAGAGGACUGGAGAGGAGACUGGAAUUUACGGUGUAGCGGUGAAAUGCGUAGAUAUCGUAAGGAAGACCAGUGGCGAAGGCGGGUCUCUGGACAGUUCCUGACGCUGAGGCACGAAGGCCAGGGGAGCAAAAGGG
rnacentral:rRNA from 1 species